rnacentral:misc_RNA from 1 species
GAAUUCUCGACGCGAGAAGAGAAGGUCCCUUUCUCUCCGUACGGUUUUUCAUCGACGGUGCCCAGCGACCUCAUCUCAUCUUCGCACCCCCUGCCCGCUUCACACCCCACCCCCACUAUCCGCCUGCCAAUGCUGGACUGCCUGCGGUAGUGACGGGGCCAAGCACCUAAGGCUUAGGGGAGGUCAGAGCGGCGCGUCGCUUCCGAUGUCGGUGGUCGGGCCCUGGAUGGCGCUGCGUCGGACCGACCUGCGACUGUGAAGACGCUUGUGCCAUCCAUAUGGUGGGCAACGCGUCAGCGUGACUCAAGCGAAUCUUACCUGCCCACACACACACACACACACUGCCUGCUGGUGCAGCCCGCGUGAUGGGAGGAGCUGCUGCGAGGCGACCGGCAGAGCGGGCGGUGGGUGGGUAGGGCUUGCGUCAGAGCCCGCGCUCUCAGAUAACUGAGUCGGCGCAUGGUUGUAAGGCGUGUGCGGCCACGGCUGCCUCGCACCACGCGAUGGGGUCUGUGACAGGGGGCGAUGCAGUGAUCUUGUGCUCGGUGGGCAGAAUGGCGGCAUUGAAAGAAAACGAAAUGACGACUACCUCCCUUCCCCCUACAGACAUACAUACACGCAAACCUCAGGUGACGUGUCAAUGAUUCGCACACCUCUGCGUCUAUGAUGUUUUAGUGUUUUGUAUGUGCACGUGUGUGGUUGCCAGCGAUGUGUGUUGCCUCCCGUCUGACUUCUCGUCGUUUCUAUCGUCUCUCGCCGCACUACCCGUCACAAGGACGGACGAAACGGCGCCGAAGAGCAAAACGGCUCCUGUUCGAGACCACAGGCUGAAAAGGUCGGUCGCUGACGGGCCGUUUCGCCGCACUCGGAUGCCGCCCUCAGCGCCAUCGAGAAAAGAUCACCCGCCACGGAAGAUACGUGCCCUUCCUUUGAGAGAUGCGAAUGGCGGCACUGAGCAUUGGGCGCAUAUCAGAGACCGUCUGCGGCACCAAGCUACUUUCCUUUUGGCUUCGCCCUAUUGUUGAUAUCAAGCAGAUCACGGUGGGGCAGGGUGCUUUUUACGAGAAGCAUCCUUGAGCCGGAAAUGCUAGGACAGUUGGUGAGCAGAAAGCUUGUGGAGUGCAUGAGUGACACGGAAGGUCGCACGCUACCGGUUUUCACAGAGCUGCCUGCCGCUGUGCUGGCGAUGGUGUUGUUUUUUUUUUUUCUGUUGGUGGUGCUCAGGCUACACGAAGAAUAUGUUGCGCUUUCUGCAUCCUCCGUAUCUUGGAUGGCCUCUUUGACGGCCGCGCCACAGUGGUGAAGAUGUCUGCGGUUACGACGAGCCGUUUGCAGGGGACGGAGGGCUUUGCACGCCGCCGCAUGUCCGCGCGGGCGGCCACUCUCUGUGGCUCUUUUGUCGUCAACUUUGUCAACGGCCCUUCCCCUGUGGCGUAUGCGCCAUGGCUCCUGGAAAGAGGGGGGUCGCUCUGGGACUUAAAGUUCUCCGGCGCUUCUGCCCAGCUUCACCCUCUUCCUCAACACUCUCGUUGCCCUCACGGCGGGUGCGUGCCUGUCUUGAAG